AAUCCAGUCGACCAUGAUGAAACGGAGUCCCAACCUAGAUCAUCAGAUGCAGUCUGACCAAAUAUCCCGCUAGCGGCAGCAUUUUCCCAUUCAUCAUUUCCUUCAUUCCCACCUCCACUAUUUCCCGACUCCGAAGAGAAGCCACAGGUCGUAAUGAAUUGACUUGCCUGGGGACGAAAUGAUCGACCAGUGUGGAGUGUGGUUGAUGAUAGUCGAGUUAGGAGAUGGCGAAUCCUGAGCAUAUUGACCGUACUCUACCCUAAAAAUCAGGAACAGAUGAAAUAGUAACCUGAACGCGAGCGAU
rnacentral:lncRNA from 1 species